AUCGUAGGUCCGCCACCGCCUGCUAUCGUAGGCCCAUCACUCACCGCCUGCUAUCGUAGGCCCACCACUCGCCGCCUGCUAUCGUAGGCCCAUCACUCACAGCCUGCUAUCGUAGGCCCGUCACUCACCGCCUGCUAUCGUAGGCCCAUCACUCACCGCCUGCUAUCGUAGGCCCAUCACUCACCGCCUGCUAUCGUAGGCCCAUCACUCACCGCCUGCUAUCGUAGGCUCAUCACUCACCGCCUGCUAUCGUAGGCCCAUCACUCACCGCCUGCUAUCGUAGGCUCAUCACUCACCGCCUGCUAUCGUAGGCCCAUCACUCACCGCCUGCCAUCCUAGGUAGCACUCACAAUUGCUUUAUCAGUCAUUCUCUCAUAUGUACCAAUAGUUGCAAUGUUUGUGUUUAUUUUGUUGAAAAUAUGUACAGUGAUUCUUUUUGUUUAGUAUACACAGUGUCGUACUCAAAUAUAGAGUACUGUUAUUUACUUUGUUACUCACUUGUUCCUUAAAAUGUUUUAUGCAAGUCUACUUGCAAAACGCAUGUGUCUAUGUAUUUCGUACCAAGCCUGCUAUCGUAGGCAAUUUCACUCCCAGAUUAUUUUGCUGUUGUUGUUUUUGAUGCACAUCACUCAGCUACUUGGCCAUGCCAUGAAUUAGCAAGUUUAAAAAGUUAUUUAAAACUGAUAUGUCACGUACUAUAGAUUCACACAGUCUUAUACAUAGAAAUUAACAAAUUGUCUUCAUGUUGUGCACAGUUGUAUCAUAUAAAAAUAUUAUUAUUGUGUCUCGCUUAAUAUGUAUUGCUCUUCAAGGAUUCUUCUUUCUUGGCCACAAAACAAUUUAUUCUGUCAAAUGCGCUUUCCAUCAUCCCUUGUUUCUUAUGGGGAUUGGGCUCAUAAGCCAAUACCAAGAAAGAAGAUGGCAUACUGGCUUGAAUCAUACCAGACUUAUUUUUGCAAUACUUGUAUCAUGUUUUUUCUAGUCUUUACCUAGUCAUUGUUUAAGUCUGAUGUUCUUAGCCAGUUAUGCCAUAAAAUAAAAUCCUAAACCUUUUAUGCCUUGUCUGAUUUUAAUUGAGUAUAAAUUGAAGUUUACGUAGUAAACGCAGUUUAUGCAAAAUUAGAAAUCCCAUUCUACUUUCGCUUUAGUAUUUACAUUCCGCACUUCCGGUAUUUUCUUUAUCACGUGACCAAAUCAGCAUCCCGAUUCCGAAAAGUCGAACCCGUACCGCAUCAGCAGCUAAUUAAUAUUCAUGCGCCUUCUGUUUACAAACAAGAUAACUGAUCGAUUGACAACAUUAUCCACCAUCCGUCCCCGCCUCGCACCUUGAAGAGCAAUGCCUUCUGGUUAAGGACUCUGCCAGUAUGCCUUGUUUGUGGGGGAUUGGGCUCAUAAGCCAAUACCAAGAAAGAAGAUGGCAUACUGGCUUGAAUCAUACCAGACUUAUUUUUGCAAUACUUGUAUCAUGUUUUUUCUAGUCUUUACCUAGUCAUUGUUUAAGUCUGAUGUUCUUAGCCAGUUAUGCCAUAAAAUAAAAUCCUAAACCUUU